UAGAGUUUUGAUCCUGGCUCAGGAUGAACGCUGGCGGCGUGCCUAAUACAUGCAAGUCGAGCGAACGGAUAAGGAGCUUGCUCCUUUGAAGUUAGCGGCGGACGGGUGAGUAACACGUGGGUAACCUACCUAUAAGACUGGAAUAACUUCGGGAAACCGGAGCUAAUGCCGGAUAACAUUUGGAACCGCAUGGUUCUAAAGUAAAAGAUGGUUUUGCUAUCACUUAUAGAUGGACCCGCGCCGUAUUAGCUAGUUGGUAAGGUAACGGCUUACCAAGGCAACGAUACGUAGCCGACCUGAGAGGGUGAUCGGCCACACUGGAACUGAGACACGGUCCAGACUCCUACGGGAGGCAGCAGUAGGGAAUCUUCCGCAAUGGACGAAAGUCUGACGGAGCAACGCCGCGUGAGUGAUGAAGGUUUUCGGAUCGUAAAACUCUGUUAUUAGGGAAGAACAAAUGUGUAAGUAACUGUGCACAUCUUGACGGUACCUAAUCAGAAAGCCACGGCUAAC
rnacentral:rRNA from 1 species